CAGUCGAGCGGACAGAUGAGGAGCUUGCUCCCUGAUGUUAGCGGCGGACGGGUGAGUAACACGUGGGUAACCUGCCUGUAAGACUGGGAUAACUCCGGGAAACCGGGGCUAAUACCGGAUGGUUGUUUGAACCGCAUGGUUCAGACAUAAAAGGUGGCUUCGGCUACCACUUACAGAUGGACCCGCGGCGCAUUAGCUAGUUGGUGAGGUAACGGCUCACCAAGGCGACGAUGCGUAGCCGACCUGAGAGGGUGAUCGGCCACACUGGGACUGAGACACGGCCCAGACUCCUACGGGAGGCAGCAGUAGGGAAUCUUCCGCAAUGGACGAAAGUCUGACGGAGCAACGCCGCGUGAGUGAUGAAGGUUUUCGGAUCGUAAAGCUCUGUUGUUAGGGAAGAACAAGUGCCGUUCAAAUAGGGCGGCACCUUGACGGUACCUAACCAGAAAGCCACGGCUAACUACGUGCCAGCAGCCGCGGUAAUACGUAGGUGGCAAGCGUUGUCCGGAAUUAUUGGGCGUAAAGGGCUCGCAGGCGGUUUCUUAAGUCUGAUGUGAAAGCCCCCGGCUCAACCGGGGAGGGUCAUUGGAAACUGG
rnacentral:rRNA from 1 species